rnacentral:rRNA from 1 species
CAGGACGAACGCUGGCGGCGUGCUUAAUACAUGCAAGUCGAGCGAGGUUACUGUUUUGGAUCCCUUCGGGGUGAAGAAGCUUUAACCUAGCGGCGGACGGGUGAGUAACGCGUGGGUAACCUACCCCAAAGUCCGGGAUAACAGCGGGAAACCGCUGCUAAUACCGGAUGCCUUUACCUUGGGGCAUCUUGAGGUAAAGAAAGGCAACGCUUUGGGAUGGGCCCGCGUCCCAUUAGCUAGUUGGUGAGGUAGCGGCUCACCAAGGCGACGAUGGGUAGCCGGUCUGAGAGGGUGGACGGCCACACUGGGACUGAGACACGGCCCAGACUCCUACGGGAGGCAGCAGUAGGGAAUAUUGCGCAAUGGACGGAAGUCUGACGCAGCGACGCCGCGUGAGCGAUGAAGGUCUUCGGAUCGUAAAGCUCUGUCCUUGGGGAAGAAGGCGAAAGCUUGACGGUACCCAAGAAGAAAGCCCCGGCUAACUACGUGCCAGCAGCCGCGGUAAUACGUAGGGGGCGAGCGUUGUCCGGAAUUACUGGGCGUAAAGGGUGCGUAGGCGGCCCUUUAAGUCGGAUGUGAAAGCCCGCGGCUUAACCGCGGAAUGGCAUUCGAAACUGGAGGGCUUGAGUGUCG